rnacentral:lncRNA from 1 species
GGAAUAUUGUAAUACCUGGCUAGAUUCCGGUAUCGGAAUUCCUACCGUCCGGUGGAAUCUCGGAUGUCGGAGACCUCUAGAAGGGUAAAAUCAUGUUUUUAUAAAAUGUUUUAAUGUAUUUUAUGAUUUUAAGUAAGAAGAAAAUUGAGUUUUGAAUGAAAAAGACUAAGGAGGCAUUACCAGGUUCGGCUGCCGAACCUCAAG